rnacentral:lncRNA from 1 species
GUGGCUUUCCAGGAGAUUACUCUGGAUCAUCACCGAGGUAGGCACAAGCUCUCGCCUCACUUUAUUCAUUUUGCUUCUUCUCUUACAGGCUUAUUGUGACCAUCUACCAUUUUGGCAUGAAUUUACUAAAGAAACUUUUUUUGAGUUCCUAAGAAAAAAAGAAUAAUGUAGAAUGCUGCAUGUGGUAGAAAUAAGGAGUUGCAGGAUAGCUUUGGGAGGCCUGUGAAGUAAAAGACACUCAAUUCCUGAACAAAACUGGGAAAUAGAAAAGCAAAGAAGGGAAAGAUUAAAGGAGAAAAGUCAUGUGUUGAAAGAAGCAUUUGAGGAAAUCCAACACUUGUUCCUGAUAAAAACUCAUAGUGAACCAAAGACUGCUUGACAAGACUGGACCUUCUCUCAGAAAGUGACUAUAGGGCAGACCCUCAGUG